rnacentral:rRNA from 1 species
GGCGGACGGGUGAGUAAUACAUAGAUAACCUAGCCUUAAAGUGGGGAUAACUAGCCGAAAGGUUAGACUAAUACCGCAUAAUGUAGUUAAUUGUAAUAUUAACUAAGAAAGGAUUUAUUCGCUUAUAGAGGGGUCUAUGGUUGAUUAGCUAGUUGGUGGGGUAAGAGCUCACCAAGGCGACGAUCAAUAGCUGGUCUGAGAGGACGAUCAGCCACACUGGGACUGAGACACGGCCCAGACUUCUACGGAAGGCAGCAGUGGGGAAUUUUCCGCAAUGGGCGAAAGCCUGACGGAGCGACACCGCGUGGAGGAUGAAAUUUUUCGGAAUGUAAACUCCUUUUGGCAGGAAUGAAACAAAUGACAGUACCUGCAGAAUAAGCAUCGGCUAACUACGUGCCAGCAGCCGCGGUAAUACGUAGGAUGCAAGCGUUGUUCGGAAUUACUGGGCGUAAAGAGUACGUAGGCGGUAAUGAAAGUCUGAUAUUAAAGACUGGGGGCUUAACCUCAGGAGUGUAUCGGAAACUUCAUAACUAGAGGAC